rnacentral:rRNA from 1 species
UACGGAGGGGGCUAGCGUUAUUCGGAAUUAUUGGGCGUAAAGGGCGCGUAGGCGGCCCGGUAAGUCAAAGGUGAAAUCCCUCGGCUCAACUGAGGAACUGCCUUUGAAACUGUCGGGCUUGAGGCCGGGAGGGGGUAGCGGAAUUCCCAGUGUAGCGGUGAAAUGCGUAGAUAUUGGGAGGAACACCGGUGGCGAAGGCGGCUACCUGGACCGGUUCUGACGCUGAUGCGCGAAAGCGUGGGAUAGCAAACAGG